rnacentral:rRNA from 1 species
GUCGAGCGGUACACGGGGGAGCUUGCUCCCUGGGUGACGAGCGGCGGACGCGUGAGUAAUGUCUGGGAAACUGCCUGAUGGAGGGGGAUAACUACUGUAAACGGUAGCUAAUACCGCAUAACGUCGCAAGACCAAAGAGGGGGACCUUCGGGCCUCUUGCCAUCAGAUGUGCCCAGAUGGGAUUAGCUAGUAGGUGGGGUAAUGGCUCACCUAGGCGACGAUCCCUAGCUGGUCUGAGAGGAUGACCAGCCACACUGGAACUGAGACACGGUCCAGACUCCUACGGGAGGCAGCAGUGGGGAAUAUUGCACAAUGGGCGCAAGCCUGAUGCAGCCAUGCCGCGUGUAUGAAGAAGGCCUUCGGGUUGUAAAGUACUUUCAGCGAGGAGGAAGGCGGUGAGGUUAAUAACCUCAUCGAUUGACGUUACUCGCAGAAGAAGCACCGGCUAACUCCGUGCCAGCAGCCGCGGUAAUACGGAGGGUGCAAGCGUUAAUCGGAAUUACUGGGCGUAAAGCGCACGCAGGCGGUCUGUCAAGUCGGAUGUGAAAUCCCCGGGCUCAACCUGGGAACUGCAUUCGAAACUGGCAAGCUAGAGUCUUGUAGAGGGGGGUAGAAUUUCAGGUGUAGCGGUGAAAUGCGUAGAGAUCUGGAGGAAUACCGGUGGGGAAAGCGGCCCCCUGGACAAAAACUGACGCUCAAGUGCGGAAGCGUGGGGAGCAAACAGGAUUAAAUACCCUGGGAGUCCACGCCCUAAAAGAUGUCGACUUGGAGGGUGUUUCCCUUUAGGAGGGGCUUCCCGAGCUAAACCGGUUAAUCCACCGCCCGGGGAGGAACGGCCCCAAGGUAAAA